rnacentral:lncRNA from 1 species
AGUAUUUAAGGGCAGGCUUGGGAUGUGCUCAGCUUUCUCCGUGUGGGGCACGACGAGGUGAGCACCAGGCACCCGACCCAGCGUGGGACCUGGCCCCAAGGUGCUCCUGCUGUGCUGGGGACCGCGGCUUUUCCUCGGGAAAAUCCCCGACGAGGCUGGAGGCCGGGCAGCGCGGGGGGCUCCAGGCCAGAAAAAGCUAUUUGAAUGCUCCCACAGCUUUCCUCUUCACCUCUUGUACUGUUGCAUCCUCUGACAUCAUACUGUGCUUCCAAGGAGAAGUUUAUGGUGUCACGAAAAGGGCCUCAGAAGUUCAAGACGCUGUGACACGGAGAGAAAGUGUCUGUAUGUUUUCAAACAUUAUGGAAAUUGUAAGCGUGCUUUCCAAAACUGUCAGAAAUAUAUACUUUGAAAAGAUGAAUGCCUGUGUGGGAUUAACUCCUCAUGUUACACAUGUACUCUGGAGUGUGUUGUUUUCUCCCGCUGGUCUCCGGAGCCCAGUAUCUCAAAUGGAAUCUGACACACCACACCAGAUGCUAAAUGAGGCCUUUCCAAAUUGAGGUGUGUGUUUUCUGUGCUGAAUGUAAUCUUUCCAGACCUAGUUUGUGUAAGUCUGAUGGGAGUUGUCCUGCUGUUUUGGAACAAUUCACCUGGCUCAGCCACAGCCCAUCUCGGUGUGUGUUGGUGUUAACAAAUGCUUGCGGAUGCUUCCCUCCUCCCCCUGCCUCUGAACUACCCUGGUGCAGUUGGUGGAGCUAGCUGGUGUGCAUAUGGAGCAUAUUUCUAGGAAAUGUUAUGCAAGCUAGUUCCAAAAAAGAGGCAAGCAUAGGAAAAUGAUGCUAAUGUUAUCCCUAAAGUAAAUAAAACCCAAUUCAUAUGCUGUUCCUCUUCUUAAAAAAAAAAAAAAAAGGCAGGGGGAGGCAAGUAUAGCAGCUGUUUGUGCUGUAACAAACUGGUACGAUGUUUUCAGAGCUAACACUAAACAGCUGAUUUAUUGCAGAUCCAAAGACCCUUCUUAGUAGGAUUUUGAAAGGUAUGGCUUACCUGGAUGUGAAGCAAGAAAUGCUCCACUAAUGUCACUCUGACUCCAAGUUACAAAUAGCAGGGCAGAAUGAGCACAGCUGGCUAUGGCAGACAUCUGGCUUGGAGGGGGGGUGUCCUGUGCCUUGUCUGGAGGAAGGAGGGCACUGAGGUUGCCUAGACUUGCUUAGUUUGAAGUGCUGAGGUGGUAGAUGGCACAGUGUGCUCAAGCCCCCUGUUUGUGUUUGAUGCAGAUGUUUUGAGAAGCAAGUGCCCUCUAACUCCCCUGCUUAGGUUGCCCAGAGUUUCUGGGCUGAGAAAGGAGGGGGAAGGAUGAAUGUGACUUUCACUGAUUUUAGGCUAAUGGUAAGGGCUUUCUUCAAGCUAAGCAGACUUGUACUCCAGUCUCUACCCCCAAUAACUCUUAAAUGUUUGCUAACCUUUGGGUACAAUGCAGCGACUGCUGUAUGUGGUGUGACACUGACUGUUGCUCUCUCUGUUACGCUGUCUUCUAGAUCAAGUGCUGUUAACACAUCAUCUUUUAGAGCAUGACUUUCACAUGGCAGUGACAGGUAAUAUAUACUUGUUUCCUUGCAAAAAAA